AUUGAACGCUGGCGGCAGGCCUAACACAUGCAAGUCGAGCGGAUGAAGGGAGCUUGCUCCUGGAUUCAGCGGCGGACGGGUGAGUAAUGCCUAGGAAUCUGCCUGGUAGUGGGGGAUAACGUCCGGAAACGGGCGCUAAUACCGCAUACGUCCUGAGGGAGAAAGUGGGGGAUCUUCGGACCUCACGCUAUCAAAUGAGCCUAGGUCGGAUUAGCUAGUUGGUGGGGUAAAGGCCUACCAAGGCGACGAUCCGUAACUGGUCUGAGAGGAUGAUCAGUCACCCUGGAACUGAGACACGGUCCAGACUCCUACGGGAGGCAGCAGUGGGGAAUAUUGGACAAUGGGCGAAAGCCUGAUCCAGCCAUGCCGCGUGUGUGAAGAAGGUCUUCGGAUUGUAAAGCACUUUAAGUUGGGAGGAAGGGCAGUAAGUUAAUACCUUGCUGUUUUGACGUUACCAACAGAAUAAGCACCGGCUAACUUCGUG
rnacentral:rRNA from 1 species